GUCGCCGACGGCGCGCAGGUCGGCGAGGGCGCCGCUGAGGCCGGUGCAGCGGCCGACGCGGUCGAUGGCGUUGUUGAGCUUGUCGCGGCUGCUC
rnacentral:tRNA from 1 species